rnacentral:rRNA from 1 species
GUGAGGAAUUUUCCGCAAUGGGCGAAAGCCUGACGGAGCAAUGCCGCGUGAAGGAUGAAGGCCUAUGGGUUGUAAACUUCUUUUCUCAGAAAAGAAUUAUGACGGUAUCUGAGGAAUAAGCAUCGGCUAACUCUGUGCCAGCAGCCGCGGUAAGACAGAGGAUGCAAGCGUUAUCCGGAAUGAUUGGGCGUAAAGCGUCUGUAGGUUGUUUAAAAAGUAUUCUGUCAAAGAUUAGGGCUUAACCCUAGAUAGGCAGAAUAAACUUUUAAGCUAGAGUUUGGUAGAGGCAGAGGGAAUUCCCGGUGGAGCGGUGAAAUGCGUAGAUAUCGGGAGGAACACCAAAGGCGAAGGCACUCUGCUGGGCCAAUACUAACACUGAGAGACGAGAGCGAGGGGAGCAAAUGGGAUUAGAAACCCGUGUAGUCC